CCAGGAUAGAUGCUUCACCGGAACCUUGACAGGAUUGGGAUCUCGGUAGACGUUGACAGUGCGCGAUUUGCAUGGUUCGGGCAAUGGUGCUGGAUCCAUAUUCUCAAAGUAAUUCUCAUAGAUGUUGACAGCAUUGUUCUGAUCGCACCGUCUGCUCUGGAUCAUGCAUAUUGAUGUCCUUUGGCCAGCCGCCCUCAUUGUGCGUAAUGCCUGUGCUCUUGUAUGUGGCACGUUCGGUAUUUGCCACACUAAGCGAUGUCUGGCCAGCAUAUUGUGUAACGCGGUCCACGGGAUUCUUUAGAAUGUAGCUCUUGACCAACUCUGGAUUGGAGUUUUCGCUGAAUAUCACCUCAUCCUUAUCCUCGAAAUGAACACGUGUCCCAAAUGUGCGACGCUCCUUUUUAAAUAUGUAUUCCAUAUUUAUGCAGUUGAAUUUAUUUUGAAUUUUAUGUUGAGUUACUCGUCGAAAAAAUUGCUUAGGAUAAACAUGCGGAAGGACUUUCUCUGACUCCUUGGCAACCAGGAAAUGCUUUAUCAAUAUUUUCUGGGGUUGUCUAGACUUUUGUUAGUU